GCGCGUCGGGACUGCGGCCAUGGCGCGGGCCGGCCCAGCAGAGGUGAUCCGCUCGGCGCAGAAGGACGAGCACUACCGCGGCGGCCUGCGGGGUGCGGCCGGCGGCGCCGUGCACAGCCUGGCGGGUGCAAAGAAGUGGCUGGAGUGGAGGAAGGAGCUCGAGCUGCUUUCGGACGUCGCCUACUUCGGCCUCACCACAGUGGCAGGCUACCAGACCCUUGGGGAGGAGUACGUUGGCAUCGUCCAGGUGGAUGGGUCCCAGCGGCGUGUGCCCUCCAGGCUCCGCCGUGGAGUGCUGGUGGCACUGCACGCAGUACUGCCCUACCUGCUGGACAAGGCCCUGCUGCCCUUGGAGCAGGAACUUCAGGCGGAUGGCGACGGUGCACGGCCCUCACAGGGCAGCCUGGUGCCCAGUGGGCGCAGCCGGUCAGGAGCACGGCGCUGGGUGCGUCGCCGUGCAACUUCCCUGACUGAACAACAGAGGAAGACGCUCCAGCGCACAGUCUCCAUCCUCAGACAAGGCCUCGCCUACCUACAUAGGUUCCAUGUUGCCUGGUUUUACAUCCAUGGUGCUUUCUACCACCUAGCUAAAAGGCUUGUGGGUGUCACUUACCUCCGCACUCGCCACCUGCCCCGAGAAGACCUGAGGGCCCAAGCAGGCUACAGGCUGCUAGGUCUCAUCUCCCUAGCACACCUGGCACUCUGGGUGGGGCUGCAGCUGUACAGCUUCCGGCAGAGGCAGCGUGCCAGGAAGGAGUGGAAGCUGCACCGCCACCUGUCCCACCGCAGAGGUUCCCUGGAGGAGCGAGCUGGUUCCAGAACCCCUCUCUGCACCCUGUGCCUGGAGGAGCGCAGGCACUCCACAGCCACACCCUGCGGCCACCUCUUCUGCUGGGAGUGCAUCACUGAGUGGUGUAACACCAAGACAGAGUGCCCCCUCUGCAGGGAGAAGUUCUCUCCCCAGAAGCUGGUCUACCUACGGCACUACCGCUGACAGCCCAGCCCCAGAUGAGGUGGAGUAAACGGUCUUCAGGGUUAACUGUACUUGCAUAGAAAUGAUACAAUCAGGACCUCUUCUUGUCUCCACAUGGACAGAGCAGAACCUUCCUUAGCCCACCUAACUGGCCAGAGUCCUGUCUGACACCCAAUGAUUGGAGGAGGGUUCAGGAGCCGCUCCUCCCUGUAGGAAAGGCUGCGCAGCAGUCACAUCUGGGAACAUCCCCUCAACACUCCUUGGGCAGCCUGCACAACUGAGGCAGGCUGCCCUGGCUCCACUCAGUAUCUUCCUCCCCGGCAUCCAGAACUUGCACUCACUGGCCUUGGCUGGACAUUCGGCAUGGGUCCUCACAGAGCAGUGCCACCUCUGCUCUCAGCCAGACCUAAGCAUGUCUUUCCCGGUGGCCAUCCGCACAGCACAGCGCUGAUGU